GUAGGUGGCAAGCGUUGUCCGGAAUUAUUGGGCGUAAAGCGCGCGCAGGCGGUUCUUUAGGUCUGAUGUGAAAGCCUACGGCUCAACCGUGGAGGGUCAUUGGAAACUGGAGAACUUGAGUACAGAAGAGGAAAGCGGAAUUCCACGUGUAGCGGUGAAAUGCGUAGAGAUGUGGAGGAACACCAGUGGCGAAGGCGGCUUUCUGGUCUGUAACUGACGCUGAGGCGCGAAAGCGUGGGGAGCAAACAGGAUUAGAUACCCUGGUAGUCCACGCCGUAAACGAUGAGUGCUAAGUGUUAGGGGGGUUUUCCGCCCCCCUUAGUGCUGCAGCUAACGCAUUAAGCACUCCGCCUGGGAGUACGGCCGCAAGGCUG
rnacentral:rRNA from 1 species